UUAAAAAGCUCGUUGUCGGAUUUCAGAUUCAGACUUGAAUUAUUUAAUUCUCUGUCUUUUAUCUUCAUUGGUACGAACCUGCAUCUGAUUUAUUUCCGGUGCUGUCUAGUGCCUCUUUUGCUUUGAGAAAAUUAGAGUGUUCAAAGCAGGUCAUCGCCUGAAUAUUACUCUUGGAAUAAUGAUAUAGGACUUUGGUUCUAAUUUGUUGGUGUAUUAGGACCGGAGUAAUGAUUGAUAAGGACGGUUGGGGUCAUUCAUAUUGCAAAGCGAGAGGUGAAAUUCUUGGACCUUUGUAUGAUGAACAACUGCGAAAGCAUUUGACUAGGACGUUCCUGUUGAUCAAGAACGAAAGUUGGGGGAUCGAAGACGAUCAGAUACCGUCGUAGUCUCAACCAUAAACUAUGCCAGCUAGGGAUUGGAAGAUGUUUAUUUACGACUCUUUCAGCACCUUAUGAGAAAUCAAAGCAUUUGGGUUCCGGGGGGAGUAUGGUCGCAAGGCUGAAACUUAAAGGAAUUGACGGGAGGGCACCACCAGGAGUGGAGCCUGUGGCUUAAUUUGACUCAACACGGGAAAACUUACCAGGUCCGGACAUAGUAAGGAUUGACAGAUUGA
rnacentral:rRNA from 1 species